AGCUUUAUUGGGGCAAAAGCAGCAACAUUUCAACUCUACCGGGACUUUAUCAAGGUAGGGUCAAAAUGUUGCUGCUUUUGCCCCAAUAAAACU